rnacentral:rRNA from 1 species
AACGAACGCUGGCGGCAUGCCUAACACAUGCAAGUCGAACGAGAUCUUCGGGUCUAGUGGCGCACGGGUGCGUAACGCGUGGGAAUCUGCCCUUUGGUUCGGAAUAACAGUUGGAAACGACUGCUAAUACCGGAUGAUGACGAAAGUCCAAAGAUUUAUCGCCAGAGGAUGAGCCCGCGUAGGAUUAGCUAGUUGGUGUGGUAAAGGCGCACCAAGGCGACGAUCCUUAGCUGGUCUGAGAGGAUGAUCAGCCACACUGGGACUGAGACACGGCCCAGACUCCUACGGGAGGCAGCAGUGGGGAAUAUUGGAUAAUGGGCUAAAGCCUGAUCCAGCAAUGCCGCGUGAGUGAUGAAGGCCUUAGGGUUGUAAAGCUCUUUUACCCGGGAUGAUAAUGACAGUACCGGGAGAAUAAGCUCCGGCUAACUCCGUGCCAGCCGCCGCAGUAA